rnacentral:piRNA from 1 species
UGAUAUGAACAGAAAUGCCUUCCGAAU